GGGCCUUCAUAAUCUUGAGGGGUGGGCCUGUGUGAACCUUGUGAAAUUUAACAAGGCCAAGAUCCUGUAUGUGACUUGGGGAAAUCCCAAGCACAAAUACAGGCUGAGUAAAGAACAUAUUGAAAACAGCCCUGUGGAGGAGGACCUGGGGAUGCUGGUGGAUGAGAAGCUCAGCACAACCCAGCCAAGUGCACUCACAGCCCAGAAAGUCAGCCCUGUCCUGGACUACAUCAAAAGCAGCAUGGCCAGCAGGGUGAGGGAGGGGAUUCUCCCCCUCUGCUCUGCUCUUGGGAGACCCCACUUGUGUCCUGCAUCCAGCUCUAAGGUCCCCAACACAAGAAGGAAAUGGACCUGUUGGAGCAAGUUGAGAGGACACCAACAAGUAAAUCAGAAAGCUGGAGCACUUCUCCUGUGAAGAAAGGAUUUAAGAGAUUGGAGCAUCCUCCUUUUUGAUUUGUUUUUCUUUACCAAGCAGUGUAUUGGACACAGAGUAAAACUGUAGGAUUGGACUUGUCUUGUUCCUACUGCUGCCUGCAGAUUUAGCUGUGAAAAAGCAGAUGACAGAAGUCUGGAUUUCAACAAGAAGCAGAGCUCCCAUAUGAAGCACAAAUAUUUCAAUGUUGUAAUUAGAGCACACUAAGGGAGUGCGAAAGUCCACGCAGAAACCAAGCGAAGAACAAUCUGUGGAAAAUCUCUCUUUUAAGCCCCUGGUGCUGGCCUCCUCUGAUAAGAACUCCAUACUACAAGAAAAUAUGUAUGUUCUUUGGAAGAUUAAAUUAAAGGCAGGAUAAGAAGAAGAUGACAAUGAUUCUAAAAGGACUACUAAAGCAAGACAGAACAAGAGGAAUAAAAGAAAAGAUUUGUUGAGCCUGAAAUCAUGCAGUCAGAAACUGCAAACAGGAGUGCACUUGCUGCAUUGUACCCGGGAUUCUUCUCCCAGAAAGGAUGGAGAAAUGCUGGACUUGUGCUUCAACUCCUGAGACACAUGGAGUUGCAGAGCAUCCAGGCAGUCCUUCAAAGGACAGCCUUUAUGGUCUUAGAAUACUCACCGCUUCACAUACACUUCAUCUUGAAUAAGACUUGUUUGACAGCAACAGAAGGAACUCAAAACAGAAGAGAGUCAUAAUUGCUUUAUGCCUACACUUCCCUGGCUCCUGUGCAUGAAGUUUGCACAGAGAAGCUGUGUCAGCACUGGGAGAAACUGAUGUGACUGCAGUUCAUCUUUACCAAGCUUGUUGUAAAUUCUGUUAAUAACAAUGGAUCAGCUGCAAAUGUAUAGGACAAAUGUAAGAAAUGGAAGGAAAUAGUGAGGAUGAUUCUUUGUUGGUGCCCUCAAGCCACCUUCUUCAGAAUUGACAGGUGCUAGAUGUUGUAUCCCUUCCAUCACAUUCAACUCCACACCAGCAGAUCUUUCCCCAGGAGCUCUCUGAAACAGUUUUGAAUAUGUUUAAACUCUCGCUCACCUCUAUGUCUUGCAAUAAUGAGUUCUGCAGUUUUUUUGUAAGUUGUGUAAAAACAGUUUUAUUUGUUGCUCUUCCUAAUAAAAAACAUUGGGGCACCUCUAGUUCUUACACUCAUAAUAGCUUGUAAUUACUGCUCGUCUGCUAGAUAAGACUGUGUAGACCCAUUUGGUGACACCCUUUAGUCCUGCCUUUUCCAAGAUGAAGAGCUGCAGGCUAUAUGCACAUGAAGUCUGUUCUGUAUUUCUAAUCACCCUUACCAUGACUUCAAAACUACACCAAGCUGUUUUCCAAAUUGAUUGAAUUGGUUUGUGUUCAAGAUGUGAGCAUGCCAUGGAUUUACAAAGCAGUGCAAAGAUACUUUUUGUUUUGUUCCCCAUUCAAUUCCUAACAACUUACAACAUUAGGUUUGCCUUUAUGAAAAUGGCAGAACAUUGUGCUAAUGUUUUCAGAGAAGCAGUCAAAUAUUUUCUGAAUGGGGUUAG